rnacentral:misc_RNA from 1 species
GUGAAGAACGCAGCGAAAUGCGAUAAGUAAUGUGAAUUGCAGAAUUCAGUGAAUCAUCGAAUCUUUGAACGCACCUUGCGCCCUUUGGCUAUUCCGAAGGGCAUGCCUGUUUGAGUAUCAUGAACACCUCAACUCUCAUGGUUUGCCAUGAUGAGCUUGGACUUUGGGGGUCUUGCCGGCCUAUGGGUCGGCUCCUCUCAAAUUAAUCAGCUUGCCAGUGUUUGGUGGCAUCACAGGUGUGAUAACUAUCUACGCUUGUGGUUUUCCAUCAGGUAACCUUCAGUGAUGGAGGUUCGCUGGGGCUCAUAAAUGUCUCUCCUCAGUGAGGACAGCUUUUUUGAACGUUUGAUCUCAAAUCAGGUAGGACUACCCGCUGAACUUAAGCAUAUCAAUAAGCGGAGGA